GCCAAGCGCUUGCACUCGAUGACACUCGGAAUGUUGUUUACAUCUACAAACGUGGCGACAUCAGCUGAGAUAUGCAAUGGAUUUAAACGCAAUAACCGGGGAAUCUUUACAGAAAAUAGGGAUGAGAUAAGAGGCAAGGCGUUGUUUAUCCUAAUUACGAAAAUAUAAGGACAUUAUUUCGGAAAAAUAAUGGAAGAGUGAGACGAUCAGCAUCAGCUCCCUAGAUCUAUCACUGCAGUACAUUUAGCCCAGCUGUCAAGAAUUCCAGGCUUGAAGAAUGAAUAAAUACAAAAUGCAUCCAUUUCUCCACAUGGUAUUCCCAUAGAAUUGGACCAAUGGAUUCCUUCAGACAUCAAGUUAAUCCAUCAUUUAAGGAAAAUGAAUUUAUUUCGUCCACAAGAACAUGAAGUGAUGGAAAUAAUCUGCACCUGCUCAGUAUUCCUUUUACAGACUACCUAGAAAUUUGAAAAGCUGUUUAUGAAAUAAAUUCUCUUGAUAAAUAAUGCUUUGAUUUUUCAUAUACAUGUACUUACUGUACAGGUGUUGAAAAGGCUAUUAGGAUUUGAAAAUCUUUAUUUGCAUA